rnacentral:miRNA from 1 species
AUGAAGUGUGACGUGGACAU